CCUACGGGAGGCAGCAGUGGGGAAUAUUGGGCAAUGGGCGCAAGCCUGACCCAGCAACGCCGCGUGAAGGAAGAAGGCUUUCGGGUUGUAAACUUCUUUUCUCAGGGACGAAGCAAGUGACGGUACCUGAGGAAUAAGCCACGGCUAACUACGUGCCAGCAGCCGCGGUAAUACGUAGUUGGCAAGCGUUAUCCGGAUUUACUGGGUGUAAAGGGCGAGUAGGCGGGAAAGCAAGUCAGAUGUGAAAACCAUGGGCUCAACCUGUGGCCUGCAUUUGAAACUGUUUUUCUUGAGUACUGGAGAGGCAGACGGAAUUCCUAGUGUAGCGGUGAAAGGCGUAGAUAUUAGGAGGAACACCAGUGGCGAAGGCGGUCUGCUGGACAGCAACUGACGCUGAGGCGCGAAAGCGUGGGGAGCAAACAGGAUUAGAUACCCGAGUAGUC
rnacentral:rRNA from 1 species